UGAUGACGAGACGCUAAGGCGUUGAAGCAGUGUAUGUCAGACUUCCAAGAAAAGCUCGCAAUGUCAUAAGUAAAAAAUGCCUGUACCAUAACCGACACAGGUGGGUAGGUAGAGUAUACUAAGGGGCGCGAGAUAACUCUCUCUAAGGAACUCGGCAAAAUGACUCCGUAACUUCGGGAGAAGGAGUGCCUUAUUUAUAAGGUUGCAAUAACAAGAUCCAAGCAACUGUUUAUCAAAAACACAGGUCUCCGCUAAGUCGUAAGACGAUGUAUGGGGGCUGACGCCUGCCCAGUGCCAGAAGGUUAAAGAAGUUGGUUAGUGUAUGCGAAGCUGAUGACUGAAGCCCUGGUGAACGGCGGCCGUAACAAUAACGGUCCUAAGGUAGCGAAAUUCCUUGUCGGGUAAGUUCCGACCCGCACGAAAGGCGUAAUGAUUUGGAUACUGUCUCGGAGAGAGGCUCGGUGAAAUAGACUUGUCUGUGAAGAUGCGGACUACCUGCACCGGGACAGAAAGACCCUAUGAAGCUUUACUGUAACUUGACAUUGGAAUUGGACUUUGCUUGCGCAGUAUAGGUGGGAAGCGUUGAAGAUAUUCUUGCGGGAGUAUUGGAGCUAUCAGUGAGAUACCACUCUUGUAAUGUUAGAUUUCUAACUUUGAACCAUAAUCUGGUCAAAGAACAGUUUCAGGUGGGCAGUUUGACUGGGGCGGUCGCCUCCCAAAUGGUAACGGAGGCGUACAAAGGUUUCCUCUGAACGGAUAGAAAUCGUAUCUAGAGUGUAAAGGCAUAAGGAAGCUUGACUGUGAGACCUACAAGUCGAGCAGGGACGAAAGUCGGUCUUAGUGAUCUGACGGUACUGAGUGGAAAGGCCGUCACUCAACGGAUAAAAGUUACUCUAAGGAUAACAGGCUGAUCUCCCCCAAGAGUUCACAUCGACGGGGAGGUUUGGCACCUCGAUGUCGGCUCAUCGCAUCCUGGGGCGGUAGUACGUCCCAAGGGUUGGGCUGUUCGCCCAUGAAAGCGGUACGCGAGCUGGGUUCAGAACGUCGUGAGACAGUUCGGUCCAUAUCCGGUGUAGGCGCUAGAAUAUUGAGAGGAGCCUUCUUUAGUACGAGAGGACCGAGAAGGACACACCGCUGGUGUACCAGUUAUCGUGCCAACGGUAAACGCUGGGUAGCUAUGUGUGGAGUGGAUAACCGCUGAAAGCAUCUAAGUGGGAAGCCCACCUCAAGAUGAG
rnacentral:rRNA from 1 species